rnacentral:rRNA from 1 species
AGAGUUUGUUCAUGGCUCAGAGCGAACGCUGGCGGCAGGCCUAACACAUGCAAGUCGAGCGCCCCGCAAGGGGAGCGGCAGACGGGAGAGUAACACGUGGGAACGUACCCUUUGGUUCGGAACAACCCAGGGAAACUUGGGCUAAUACCGAAUAAGCCCUUACGGGGAAAGAUUUAUCGCCGAAGGAUCGGCCCGCGUCUGAUUAGCUAGUUGGUGAGGUAACGGCUCACCAAGGCGACGAUCAGUAGCUGGUCUGAGAGGAUGAUCAGCCUCACUGGGACUGAGACACGGCCCAGACUCCUACGGGAGGCAGCAGUGGGGAAUAUUGGACAAUGGGCGCAAGCCUGAUCCAGCCAUGCCGCGUGGGUGAUGAAGGCCCUAGGGUUGUAAAGCCCUUUCGGCGGGGAAGAUAAUGACGGUACCCGCAGAAGAAGCCCCGGCUAACUUCGUGCCAGCAGCCGCGGUA